rnacentral:rRNA from 1 species
UACAGAGGGUGCAAGCGUUGUUCGGAAUUAUUGGGCGUAAAGCGCGUGUAGGCGGCUUUGCAAGUCGGGUGUGAAAGCCCUCAGCUCAACUGAGGAAGUGCGCCCGAAACUGCAGAGCUUGAGUGCCGGAGAGGGUGGCGGAAUUCCCCAAGUAGAGGUGAAAUUCGUAGAUAUGGGGAGGAACACCGGUGGCGAAGGCGGCCACCUGGACGGUAACUGACGCUGAUGCACGAAGGCCAGGGGAGCAAACGGG